rnacentral:rRNA from 1 species
GUCUACGGCCAUACCAUCCUGAACAUGCCUAAUCCCCUCUGAUCUCAGAAGCUAAGUGGGGUCCAGCCUGGUUAGUACUUGGAUGCAGACCACCUAGGAAUUGCAGUUGCCACUGACU